UACGAAGGGGGCUAGCGUUGCUCGGAAUCACUGGGCGUAAAGGGUGCGUAGGCGGGUCUUUAAGUCAGGGGUGAAAUCCUGGAGCUCAACUCCAGAACUGCCUUUGAUACUGGCGAUCUUGAGUCCGGGAGAGGUGAGUGGAACUGCGAGUGUAGAGGUGAAAUUCGUAGAUAUUCGCAAGAACACCAAUGGCGAAGGCAGCUCGCUGGGACGGUACUGACGCUGAGGCGCGAAAGCGAUGGGGAGCAAACGGGG
rnacentral:rRNA from 1 species